AGAGUUUGAUCCUGGCUCAGGACGAACGCUGGCGGCGCGCCUAACACAUGCAAGUCGAACGGAGCUUAAAGAGCUUGCUUUUUAAGCUUAGUGGCGAACGGGUGAGUAACGCGUGAGUAACCUGCCCUGGAGUGGGGGACAACAGUUGGAAACGACUGCUAAUACCGCAUAAGCCCACGGCCCGGCAUCGGGCUGCGGGAAAAGGAUUUAUUCGCUUCAGGAUGGACUCGCGUCCAAUUAGCUAGUUGGUGAGGUAACGGCCCACCAAGGCGACGAUUGGUAGCCGGACUGAGAGGUUGAACGGCCACAUUGGGACUGAGACACGGCCCAGACUCCUACGGGAGGCAGCAGUGGGGGAUAUUGCACAAUGGGGGAAACCCUGAUGCAGCGACGCCGCGUGGAGGAAGAAGGUUUUCGGAUUGUAAACUCCUGUCGUUAGGGACGAUAAUGACGGUACCUAACAAGAAAGCACCGGCUAACUACGUGCCAGCAGCCGCGGUAAAACGUAGGGUGCAAGCGUUGUCCGGAAUUACUGGGUGUAAAGGGAGCGCAGGCGGACCGGCAAGUUGGAAGUGAAAACUAUGGGCUCAACCCAUAAAUUGCUUUCAAAACUGCUGGCCUUGAGUAGUGCAGAGGUAGGUGGAAUUCCCGGUGUAGCGGUGGAAUGCGUAGAUAUCGGGAGGAACACCAGUGGCGAAGGCGACCUACUGGGCACCAACUGACGCUGAGGCUCGAAAGCAUGGGUAGCAAACAGGAUUAGAUACCCUGGUAGUCCAUGCCGUAAACGAUGAUUACUAGGUGUUGGAGGAUUGACCCCUUCAGUGCCGCAGUUAACACAAUAAGUAAUCCACCUGGGGAGUACGACCGCAAGGUUGAAACUCAAAGGAAUUGACGGGGGCCC
rnacentral:rRNA from 1 species